rnacentral:rRNA from 1 species
AACGAACGCUGGCGGCAUGCCUAACACAUGCAAGUCGAACGAAGCCUUCGGGCUUAGUGGCGCACGGGUGCGUAACGCGUGGGAAUCUGCCCCUUGCUUCGGAAUAACAGUUAGAAAUGACUGCUAAUACCGGAUGAAGUCUUCGGACCAAAGAUUUAUCGGCAAGGGAUGAGCCCGCGUAGGAUUAGGUAGUUGGUGGGGUAAAGGCCUACCAAGCCGACGAUCCUUAGCUGGUCUGAGAGGAUGAUCAGCCACACUGGGACUGAGACACGGCCCAGACUCCUACGGGAGGAAGCAGUGGGGAAUAUUGGACAAUGGACGCAAGUCUGAUCCAGCAAUGCCGCGUGAGUGAUGAAGGCCUUAGGGUUGUAAAGCUCUUUUACCAGGGAUGAUAAUGGCAGUACCUGGAGAAUAAGCGCCGGCUAACUCCGUG